CAGACCCGUGCUGGUACGGCGACUACGCGGCGUGCCAGGCGAGCUGCUCGCAGUACUACAACUCUGGAGGACGCUGUCAAGGCUACCAGUGUGUCUGCAUGCCGCCUACCGUGUUCCCAGGCUACCCGUCGCCAACGGGACCGAUGGCACCGCCGCAGCCGGGCUUCGGAGGCCGUAUGAGCGAGGCUGCAAGAGACGUACCCUGCUUGUCGGGCAACCAAAGGUGCGCGCAGUUCUGCACGCAACACACUGGAUACAGCGGCACUUGCCACGGGCCGGCCUGCAAGUGCUUUGCCCUUAACAGGCGAUGACAGCGGCAGCGCAGCCCGGAGGUCCGCAUUCAAGGGCUCCCAGACGUCAGUAAGGCGUGUAAGAAAGAUAUUAAAGGCGCUCCGUACUCGC